GCAAGCGUAGCUUAACUAAAGCAUAGCACUGAAGCUGCUAAGAUGGGCCCUAAAAAGCCCCGCAAGCA
rnacentral:tRNA from 1 species